UGGGGAAUAUUGGACAAUGGGCGCAAGCCUGAUCCAGCAAUGCCGCGUGUGUGAAGAAGGCCUUCGGGUUGUAAAGCACUUUUAUCGGGAACGAAAAGCGGCCGGCUAAUACCCGGUCGUGCUGACGGUACCCGAGGAAUAAGCACCGGCUAACUUCGUGCCAGCAGCCGCGGUAAUACGAAGGGUGCAAGCGUUAAUCGGAAUUACUGGGCGUAAAGGGUGCGUAGGCGGUUGCCUAAGUCCGUUGUG
rnacentral:rRNA from 1 species